UGCUGACGACCGGCGCACGGGUGCGUAACGCGUAUAGAACCUACCUUAUAUUGGGGGAUAGCCCAGAGAAAUUUGGAUUAAUACCCCAUAGUAUGCUGAAUUGGCAUCAGUUUAGUAUUAAAGAUUUAUCGAUAUAAGAUGGCUAUGCGUUCUAUUAGCUAGUUGGUAAGGUAACGGCUCACCAAGGCGACGAUAGAUAGGGGUCCUGAGAGGGAGAUCCCCCACACUGGUACUGAGACACGGACCAGACUCCUACGGGAGGCAGCAGUGAGGAAUAUUGGACAAUGGAGGCAACUCUGAUCCAGCCAUGCCGCGUGCAGGAAGACUGCCCUAUGGGUUGUAAACUGCUUUUAUAGAGGAAGAAACCGCUCUACGUGUAGAGCUCUGACGGUACUCUACGAAUAAGGAUCGGCUAACUCCGUGCCAGCAGCCGCGGUAAUACGGAGGAUCCAAGCGUUAUCCGGAAUCAUUGGGUUUAAAGGGUCCGUAGGCGGGCUUAUAAGUCAGUGGUGAAAGUUUGCGGCUCAACCGUAAAAUUGCCAUUGAUACUGUAGGUCUUGAAUCAUUGUGAAGUGGUUAGAAUGUGUAGUGUAGCGGUGAAAUGCAUAGAUAUUACACAGAAUACCGAUUGCGAAGGCAGAUCACUAACAAUUGAUUGACGCUCAGGGACGAAAGCGUGGGUAGCGAACAGGAUUAGAUACCCUGGUAGUCCACGCCGUAAACGAUGGUUACUAGCUGUUUGGACUUCGGUCUGAGUGGCUAAGCGAAAGUGAUAAGUAACCCACCUGGGGAGUACGUUCGCAAGAAUGAAACUCAAGGAAUUGACGGGGGCCCGCACAAGCGGUGGAGCAUGUGGUUUAAUUCGAUGAUACGCGAGGAACCUUAC
rnacentral:rRNA from 1 species